UUGGGUUCUGUGCCCAGGCGAAAAAAAGCUAGUCCUUUUUGGCUUGCACUAGGAUGUGAAAGAAAAAUAUCCCUGCACUUACUGUCUUUGUGGUGGCCCACAUUGAAUUGGGGAAUACAUCU